GCGGGGGUAGCUCAGUUGGUUAGAGCGCCAGAUUGUGGCUCUGGAGGCCGUGGGUUCAAAUCCCAUCACUCGCCCCA
rnacentral:tRNA from 1 species